rnacentral:snoRNA from 1 species
UCUCAGUAAUGUACUUCUAAUAGGUCCUUCUGACCUCUCCUGUGGACUCAAUAGCAGGGAGAUGAAGGGGACAGUGCCUGAGAGA